rnacentral:rRNA from 1 species
AAAACGACUCUCGGCAACGGAUAUCUCGGCUCUCGCAUCGAUGAAGAACGUAGCAAAAUGCGAUACUUGGUGUGAAUUGCAGAAUCCCGUGAACCAUCGAGUUUUUGAACGCAGGUUGCGCCUGAAGCCAUUAGGCUGAAGGCACGUCUGCCUGGGCGUCUCGC